CCAUGCUUCUCGUCGUCGCCGCCGAAGGGGAGAGGGAGAGAGAGCGCCGUCGAACAGAACACGAGAAGGGAGAGGAGCUGUGUUCUGUUGUUGACGUCGCACCACCGCCACGCCGCCGUGCUGUGCGAAGUCACCGCCGUCGCCUCGAUCCUCGCAGCCUCGCCGUCGCCUCGAGCCUCGCCGUCGCCUCGAGCCUCGCCGUCGUCGUCCUCGGCCCGAACCCUUGCCGCCGCGACUGUGGUUGCCAGAAACGGUGUUGUGGCCAUCAGAACUGCUUGGAGAUUGCUGCUGCUUCUUCUAUCUCUGUUCAG
rnacentral:lncRNA from 1 species